AGAGAGGUGGCCGAGCGGUCGAAGGCGCACGCCUGGAAAGUGUGUAUACGCCAAAAGCGUAUCGAGGGUUCGAAUCCCUUCCUCUCUGCUA
rnacentral:tRNA from 1 species